rnacentral:lncRNA from 1 species
AUACAAGUGGUAAAGGGUUUGAAUAUUGGUAUCCGAGAUCACAAGUUCAAAUCCUAAUUGAUUCACAUUUUCAGCUAAAUUUAUUUUUUGUGAAAAUAAAUGAAGCGGGUAGCGCGCCUGCUACCUUUUUCUCAAAAAAAAAGUUUUGUGAGCAUAUAUAUAUAUAACUAGACUGGAAUACUAUAGAUAGCACCAAGCGCUUGGUGCUAUUAGGUUUCGGCCCUUGAAUAAAAAAAUAUACGGUUACGAUGAUGUGGGCCCUCUAAGGUUGAGAGAGUUAUUGAUUGAAUAGUAUAAUCUAAUGGAUAAAAAUAGUUAAAUGAUUAAAUCUAACGGUAGAAAAAUCGAUAGUACCAAGCACUUGGUGCUAUCGAUAGUAUCCCAGCCGAACUCCAUAUAUAUGGUGCAUAAAACUUCAUUGGGG